AGAGUUUGAUCAUGGCUCAGAUUGAACGCUGGCGGCAGGCCUAACACAUGCAAGUCGAACGGUAGCACAGAGGAGCUUGCUUCUCGCUGACGAGCGGCGGACGGGUGAGUAAUGUAUGGGGAUCUGCCCGAUAGAGGGGGAUAACUACUGGAAACGGUAGCUAAUACCGCAUAAUCUCUUAGGAGCAAAGCAGGGGAACUUCGGUCCUUGCGCUAUCGGAUGAACCCAUAUGGGAUUAGCUAGUAGGUGGGGUAACGGCUCACCUAGGCGACGAUCCCUAGCUGGUCUGAGAGGAUGACCAGCCACACUGGAACUGAGACACGGUCCAGACUCCUACGGGAGGCAGCAGUGGGGAAUAUUGCACAAUGGGCGCAAGCCUGAUGCAGCCAUGCCGCGUGUAUGAAGAAGGCCUUCGGGUUGUAAAGUACUUUCAGCGGGGAGGAAGGUGUUGUGGUUAAUAACCGCAGCAAUUGACGUUACCCGCAGAAGAAGCACCGGCUAACUCCGUGCCAGCAGCCGCGGUAAUUC
rnacentral:rRNA from 1 species